AAAAAGGUCUUUCUAAAGACCACGACAGACUUUGAAGCAAACUUUA
rfam:Phaethon lepturus contig17742, whole genome shotgun sequence.